rnacentral:rRNA from 1 species
GAUGAACGCUGGCGGCGUGCCUAAUACAUGCAAGUCGAGCGAACAGACGAGAGUUCUUGCACUCUCUGACGUUAGCGGCGGACGGGUGAGUAACACGUGGGUAACCUACCUAUAAGACUGGGAUAACUUCGGGAAACCGUAGCUAAUACCGGAUAAUAUUUAGCUUCGCAUGAAGCAAUAGUGAAAGACGGUUCUGCUGUCUCUUAUAGAUGGACCCGCGGUGUAUUAGCUAGUUGGUGAGGUAACGGCUCACCAAGGCAACGAUACAUAGCCGACCUGAGGGGGUGAACGGACACACUGGGACUGAGACACGGCCCAGACUCCUACGGGAGGCAGCAGUAGGGAAUCUUACGCAAUGGACGAAAGUCGGACGGAGCAAUGCCGCGUGAGUGAAGAAGGUGUUAGGAUCGUAAAACUCUGUUGUAAGGGAAGAACAAGUACGUUAGUAACUGAACGUACCUUGACGGUACCUUACCAGAAAGCCACGGCUAACUACGUG